rnacentral:rRNA from 1 species
AAAAUAAUAUAAACGGCGUAAAGCACGACUAAAAAUAAGUUAUACGUUAGAAAAUGAAGCAAAACUGGGCUGUAAAAAGCCAUAAGUCACAAUAACCACAUCUAACAAAAACAAAUUACACUCGUGAAAGUCAGGACACAAACUAAGAUUAGAUACCUUACUAUGCCUAACUGUAACACAACAAUUAAACUACCAAUUGUUCGCCAAAUAACUACGAGUAAAAACUUAAAAUUUAAAAGACUUGACGGUACCUCACAACAGCCUAGAGGAGCCUGUCCAUAACCGAUACUCCACGAUUAACCCAACCCACCCUAGCCAAUCAGUCUAUAUACCGCCGUGGCCAGCCUACCUUAUGAAAGAAAAAAAGUAAGCAAAACAGCCACACACUAACACGACAGGUGGAGGUGUAACUAAUGGGGGGGCCAAGAUGGGCUACAUUUUCUACUACAGAAUAUACGAAUAAACUAUGAAAAAGAAACUGAAGGCGGAUUUAGCAGUACACUGGAAACAUAUAUACUCAGUCGAAAUCAAUGCAAUGAGGUGCGUACACACCGCCCGUCAUCCCUGUUGACAAAUCUAAUACAUCCAUAAA